rnacentral:rRNA from 1 species
GAUGAACGCUGGCGGCGUGCCUAAUACAUGCAAGUCGAGCGAACAGACGAGGAGCUUGCUCCUCUGACGUUAGCGGCGGACGGGUGAGUAACACGUGGAUAACCUACCUAUAAGACUGGGAUAACUUCGGGAAACCGGAGCUAAUACCGGAUAAUAUAUUGAACCGCAUGGUUCAAUAGUGAAAGACGGUUUUGCUGUCACUUAUAGAUGGAUCCGCGCCGCAUUAGCUAGUUGGUAAGGUAACGGCUUACCAAGGCAACGAUGCGUAGCCGACCUGAGAGGGUGAUCGGCCACACUGGAACUGAGACACGGUCCAGACUCCUACGGGAGGCAGCAGGAGGGAAUCUUCCGCAAUGGGCGAAAGCCUGACGGAGCAACGCCGCGUGAGUGAUGAAGGUCUUCGGAUCGUAAAACGCUGUUAUUAGGGAAGAACAAAUGUGUAAGUAACUAUGCACGUCUUGACGGUACCUAAUCAGAAAGCCACGGCUAACUACGU